UGCGCUCAUAGCUCAGCUGGAUAGAGCACUUGGCUACGAACUAAGGGGUCGGGAGUUCGAAUCUCUCUGAGCGCACCAA
rnacentral:tRNA from 1 species